GAAAAUCCUCAGCUCACAGCAAUGGAAGUCUACAGGGGCUGCUCUUCACGUAGUGCUUGGAGCUGCUGCCUCCGGAUCCAAAGGAAGUUCAGCAGAGCUCCGGGGAUGCAUCUCCGUCCACAAGCCUCGGCUGAAGAUGAUGCACUCACGCUCUCCUGUUCCAUACUUGAGCACACGGAGGGGCCAGGCGUUAGGAGAAGAGUGUUGCCCGCUCCCCGGAGACAGAAGUGUGUGCUGCUGAAGUACCUGUGACCCUGCCAUGGCUCUGAGAAGACCAGUAGGUGCUCCUUUCUGAGACAGACAACCCCUCCCCAUCCUCUGCUGUGUAUCUAUUUUUCCUGUUUUAUUGCCGUUUGUGUUUGUUAUUUCUGUAAAGCUUCCCAUAGCAGGACGUACUUUAUAUGCUCGUAUAGGUUAGCUACACGUAGCACGGAGUUGAAAGUUCUCAGUGCUUGGCGAAGCCGCGUCAGAGGAGCUCUGCUGUUGUAGUUCUGAGAAGAGUGCUCAUGCUGCUUUAGGGUCGCACCCCCCCCCCGAGUGUGUCCUGGCUUAGCGGCAAACUGUGAACAGCAAUCGUGUGUUUUACUGCGCACAGACUGAUUGCGAGCGCCAGGUAGAAGAAGUGAGAUGUAUGAGAUGUAGGUCGCUUUGGAGAGAAGCGUCUGCUAAAUGAAUAAAUGUUAAAUGUAAAUGUGGGUGGGUGAUGCU
rnacentral:lncRNA from 1 species